rnacentral:rRNA from 1 species
UACGAGGGGGGCGAGCGUUGUUCGGAAUUAUUGGGCGUAAAGGGUGCGUAGGCGGUUUGGUAAGUCUGAUGUGAAAUCUAUGGGCUCAACUCAUAGUCUGCAUCGGAAACUGCCGGGCUUGAGUGUGGGAGAGGUGAGUGGAAUUCCUGGUGUAGCGGUGAAAUGCGCAGAUAUCAGGAGGAACACCAAUUGCGAAGGCAGCUCGCUGGGACGUUACUGACGCUGAGACGCGAAAGCGUGGGGAGCAAACAGG